GUCCCGCUACUCCUUGUAGGUUCCUCCGGCUUACAAAUGAUGUAAGGAUAGUUGAUCCAAUUAUAUUGAUUGUGAUAAAUGAAUAACAGAAGUAACUCGUCUUGAUAUAUUUGUGCCUUAUUCUUUAUUAUGCUUGAAAUGCUUAUUUAUAUAUGAUGCUUAUGAUAUUUUUUCCGAUUGACUUGCCAAGUCAUGCUAAUAUAUUCAUCUUGUUAGACGGAUUAUUGUGAGAUUCUUCUAGCUAACUUAUCUUGAAGGAGUUCAAGUCAAGUGCUGCACGGUCCCAAGUGAAUGUUAAAACUUGGGCCGGUGACACCGAGGAGGGGAAUGAGCGAAUCUAGUAACUAUGGGAUAGAGCCUAAAGUCCAAUAUAACAAGGAAGAUUAAGAGAUUUCAUUACAUCAUGAUUUGUUAGCUUUACUUAGACAUCUUCAAUCCAACCUCAUCUAAAUGCAUCUAUAAGCUUUUUGAAACUGAAACAAAACAAGAACAUCAAAUUCUUACAGAAAAGUGUAAUUAAAAAAGAUGAUAAUCAAUUCACAGUAGUUUUACUCAUGUAACUCAUUAAGUAAAUUUUACCUAUUCCCUGGAGUGCUUUGGAA
rnacentral:misc_RNA from 1 species